rnacentral:rRNA from 1 species
GACGAACGCUGGCGGCGUGCUUAACACAUGCAAGUCGAACGAUGAAGCCGGAGCUUGCUCUGGUGAAUUAGUGGCGAACGGGUGAGUAACACGUGAGUAACCUGCCCUUGACUCUGGGAUAACUGCGGGAAACUGUAGCUAAUACCGGAUACGACCCUCGGAGGCAUCUCCUGGGGGUGGAAAGAAUUUCGGUCAAGGAUGGACUCGCGGCCUAUCAGCUAGUUGGUGAGGUAAAGGCUCACCAAGGCGACGACGGGUAGCCGGCCUGAGAGGGGUACCGGCCACGAUGGGACUGGGCAACGGCCCAGACUCCUACGGGAGGCAGCAGUGUGGAAUAUUGCACAAUGGGCGCAAGCCUGAUGCAGCAACGCCGCGUGAGGGAUGACGGCCUUCGGGUUGUAAACCUCUUUUAGCAGGGAAGAAGCGAAAGUGACGGUACCUGCAGAAAAAGCACCGGCUAACUACGUGCCAGCCGCCGCAGUAA